rnacentral:rRNA from 1 species
CCUACGGGAGGCAGCAGUGGGGGAUAUUGGACAAUGGGGGAAACCCUGAUCCAGCGACGCCGCGUGAGUGAAGAAGUAUUUCGGUAUGUAAAGCUCUAUCAGCAGGGAAGAAAGAAAUGACGGUACCUGAGUAAGAAGCCCCGGCUAACUACGUGCCAGCAGCCGCGGGAAUACGUAGGGGGCAAGCGUUAUCCGGAAUUACUGGGUGUAAAGGGAGCGUAGACGGUAAUGCAAGUCUGGAGUGAAAGGCGGGGGCCCAACCCCCGGACUGCUCUUGAAACUGGGUAACUGGAGUGCAGGAGAGGCAGGCGGAAUUCGUGGUGUAGCGGUGAAAUGCGUAGAUAUUAGGAGGAACACCAGUGGCGAAGGCGGCCUGCUGGACUGUAACUGACGUUGAGGCUCGAAAGCGUGGGGAGCAAACAGGAUUAGAUACCCCAGUAGUC